rnacentral:tRNA from 1 species
GCCGGGGUGCUGAAACUGGUAAACAGAGAGGACUUAAAAUCCUCCGCCCGAAAGGGCUUGUGGGUUCGACUCCCACCCCCGGCA